rnacentral:rRNA from 1 species
GACGAACGCUGGCGGCGUGCUUAACACAUGCAAGUCGAACGGAAAGGCCCUGCGUUUGUGGGGUGCUCGAGUGGCGAACGGGUGCGUAACACGUGAGUAACCUGCCCUUGACUUUGGGAUAACUUCAGGUAACUGGGGCUAAUACCGGAUAGGAGCUCCUGCUGCAUGGUGGGGGUUGGAAAGUUUCGGCGGGUGGGGAUGGACGGGCGGCUUAUCAGCUUGUUGGUGGGGGAGUGGCUUACCAAGGCUUUGACGGGUAGCCGGCCUGAGAGGGUGACCGGCCACAAUGGGACUGAGAUACGGCCCAGAGUCGUACGGGAGACAGCAGUGGGGAAUAUUGCACAAUGGGCGGAAGUCUGAUGCAGCAACGCCGCGGGCGGGAUGACGGCCUUCGGGUUGUAAACCGCUUUCGCCUGUGACGAAGCGUGAGUGACGGUAAUGGGUAAAGAAGCACCAGCUAACUACGUG